rnacentral:lncRNA from 1 species
AUGAAAAUCUGGGGAAUUCUAAGUAAGAUCAGUAGAUUGUGUUUGGUAGAAAGUCCCGCCAUCUUUCCCCCAGGUUUCUUGCCCCCACCCUCCCCCCAGGCUUCCUGCUGCCCUGAGAAAAGCCCGCCAAGCCUGCUCUGUUCUGCCCAGCAACAACAAGCAGCCAAUCAUCGCAGCAGGAAAGCCCGCCAAGCCUCGGCCUAUCCUGAACCGACACGUAACCCUCUGAGCCACCUCAGCAGUCUGCCCAGAGACGGACAGCUUAUCCUAAGCUCCUACGACACUCCGCCAGCCCUGUGUCCACGCCCCGUCCACCCCCCCUAUAAAACCCUCCUACCCCAGCUGCGCAGUCGCAGCCAGCCCCGAUCUCCUUCCUUUCCUGGCCUGCCCGCUGGUCCCAAUAAACCUGAACUCGGCUUCCAACUCUCGAGCUGUUAUUUGGGGUCGGGUACUGGGCAGGGGUCUACAAGGGGGUUGCACAUAUGGUGCCGAAACCCGGGACGGAGGGUCGCUAGCCCCCCUAGCGACCCCCUCCCUCCAGCGACCUCCCCAGCCCUCCUCCAAUUCGGCCUCAGCACUCCGGACCAGGUAAGUCCUGUUUCUUACCUUCUCCUUCCGUGGUGCGUGUGGCAAAGGCCCUUUCUCUCAGUCCCAAUCCACGGAUCCCUCACCAAGCGCCGGCCGGCCCAAGCAGGAUCCCCCAACCAGGCUCCAGGAGCCUUGGGUCGGCAGACAAGGGAUGCCUUCUCUGACCCACCCAAUCCAAAACCAUUAAAUAGGAACGAUCAGACAGGGGACGCCUUCUCUGGUCUUUCCUAUCCACCUUCCUCUGGGGAAGCUGGUGGGUUGGAGGGACGCCUCCCCCCACACUACCCCAGCCCACUCGGAUACUGUUCCGAGCUCGGAUACUGUUCCAAGAUCCCCCUCGGCUGGCAGGAACCCUUUGCCGCACGCAUCAUGGGGAGCGUGGAGUCCAAAAUUCCUAAAAACGCCCCACUAGGUUGUUUACUUCUCGACUUUACCCGCUUGGGCUACUCCCAAAACCCUUAG